rnacentral:rRNA from 1 species
UAGCCGUAAACGAUACUCGCUAGGUGUCGGCCACGGUGCGACCGUUGUCGGUGCCGUAGGGAAGCCGUGAAGCGAGCCACCUGGGAAGUACGGCCGCAAGGCUGAAACUUAAAGGAAUUGGCGGGGGAGCACCACAACGGGUGGAGCUUGCGGUUUAAUUGGAUUCAACGCCGGAAAUCUUACCGGGACCGACAGCAACAUGAAGGCCAGGCUGAAGACUUUGCCGGAUUAGCUGAGAGGUGGUGCAUGGCGUAGUCG